rnacentral:pre_miRNA from 1 species
GGACUGAUCACUCAGAGAUCUUGUUAAAAUGCAGAUUCUGACACAUGAGGGCUAGGCCCCUAAGAUUCUGCAGUUCUAGCAAGCUCUCAGGUGACUCCUCU